rnacentral:lncRNA from 1 species
CCUGGACCCGGCGAGAAAUCGAAGGUCCCCCAAGGACCCACGUCCAGGAGCCAACAGCCUCUCUGUGCAAACCAGACAACCCUGCAGGAACUGUGCUUGAAGAAACCGUGGAAACUGCCCCCAACCCUCCCGUCUCUAUUUCUUUCUCUGUUUUAUUAUCUCAUUCUUGGCUGUGAGGUAAACAGGAGAAAAUGAGAAGGUGGUUCUGGAGGACCCGACCGAAUUUGCUUUCGUGACAGGGUCAAGCGCCCUUUCCUCGCCGGCCGCAGCCCUCACCAAAGGGGAUUUGGGGGCCUCCGGACAGGGGUCCUGAAGGUUUUGAAUUGUUCAAUCUCUGGGGGUACAGGAACCCCUGCAGGAGGUUUCAAAGGCAAGAGUUUCGCAGAGAGAAAAAAACCAUGAACUUUGCAGGUUGGUGGCGGAAUCUGGUGAUUUAAGAAAACGUGUUUAAGCCUCGGCCGGGCCGCGCCUGGGCUGUCUGCGGUGCUCUUCCGGAAUUCUCUACAAUAUCUGGAAGUGACCAAGAAAAUUCCAGAACCCGGAGGCUGCGCCGUGGAGAUAAACAUGGGCACCUGGGAAGGAACUGCUGGACCAGCAGAAUGAGGGGCCAACGCCAGGGGCAGCACUGCCCGGCCACAGAGGACUGUGGCCCCACAGAUGACACCCUCAGCUACCAGCUCCUGCAUCUGGAAGAUGACCAGGAGGAGGAA